rnacentral:lncRNA from 1 species
AGAUUUUAGUAGAAAAUAAGCAACCGUGUGAUAAAGGAACCUGAAUACAAGUUUUAAAGCUUUCGGAAAUUAAAUUUCAUAAUAAAUUAUUUAUGUCGGGUAGUUUUUAUAACAGAAAGGCUCUAUCAAACUAUCUCCACCAAUAACAACCGCAUUGAAGACCUCCAAAAUCCUAAUGGUAAUAAGGAAAUGAGCACAAGGUUAAAUUACAUCAAGAUAACCGAUGUCUUCUGUGAUUGUGAGGUCGGUGGUAAACUGGACUAUCUUCUCGUUUGAAUAGCUGUUUUCAACGUGAACAUUGGAUUUCGCCAAGAAGACGUACAAAGUUUAAGUGCAAAUGUUGGGAUCAGUGAUAACUGUGAUGCCAGCUACAAAUGAGUGAAUGGGAGCCACAGCAGAAGAAGAGUAAGAAGCACUAGCUGCCAGGGCUUACGGCUGAAGCUAAUGUUGGUGAAGGAAAUAUCUAAGGCGGAACCCACCCUGAGCGGGAUUAUGAUCUAAUGAACGGGGCUGGUAAUGCUAAAAGUACGAGGGCUGUCUGAUAAAUAACCGAAUAACGUGAAGCUAGCGGCACAUC